rnacentral:rRNA from 1 species
GUGUCAGCCGCCGCGGUAAUACGUAGGUGGCAAGCGUUGUCCGGAUUUACUGGGCGUAAAGCGUAUGCAGGCGGAUACUUAAGUAGGAAGUGAAAGGUGGGAGCUCAACUCCCACAUUGCUCCCUAUACUGGGUGUCUUGAGUGGCGGAGAGGGAGAUGGAACGACACGUGUAGCGGUGAAAUGCGUUGAUAUGUGUCGGAACACCAAUGGCGAAAGCAAUCUCCUGGACGCAAACUGACGCUGAGAUACGAAAGCCAAGGUAGCAAACAGGAUUAGAAACCCCCGUAGUCC